GACGCACCAUGACAUUUUGGGUCCAAAUUCGGCGUUACGUCAUUUGAGAAAACAUCGAUUAAAGUUACGUCACAAAAAAAAUGGUGGACGUUACCACGUGUUCGCGGCAAUUAAUGCAUUUCUUGUUUUCAAUAAUACUCUACCUUGCCACAAGAAAAAAAUGAAGUGACAUUUAUAAACAUUUCCGUGUUUUGCAAUUCCGUUUCUUUAAAAAAUUUAAAUGAUUGAUAAUUUAUCGCCCUUUGAAUCGACACGCCAUUUGUAAACAUGGAAGGUCGCGGAGAAAAUGAAACUACCAAAAACAAUUAUUUGAUGAUUUAUUUCGAUUGUAUAAAGAAUGACAGUUAGCGAAUCUCAAGAUCAGCCACUGAGGAUUGUUUGGCUUGAUGCAAUGACCUUAAACAGUGAAAUGAUUUUCCAGGAAAGUCUAUACACAACAAGCUGGAUUUUAUGGGGUGAUGAAAGAACUAUGAAUAUGUAAAUGGGAAUGAAACAGAAGGAAUUAAUAUGUUCUACUGAUCAUCCAGCUGAAAUCAUGCCUGUGGAAUAGAGUGCAUGACACAAAUACUGAUACGAGCAAAUAACUCCAUAUUGCACAAAUAAUGUCAUGUUUCCUGCCCUCAUGACAUGAAAAAGUUAAAAAAAAAUUCUAGUUCAAAUUACAAAUGUGUUUCAAGAAAAAGUAAAACUUAGUCAGCUGUGAGAAAUAUUGGAUAAAAGUAGUGUUUUGAUGUCAUGACAGCUGUGAAGUUGUUUGAAAAGCACUAUCCUAAUUGUUCUAACAAUACAGAAUUUAACUUAUAAAUUUUCCAAAACUGCAUGCAUGAAAUACUAAGACAUGUCUGUUGAAUGAAUCCUAGUUGUUUCAAAACUGCAACAUGUGUGACAUUAAAGCACAACCUUUGGAGGAAACAUUUUUACAAUAAAAACUGCCUUGCCAGUGUGAGUGUAGGAAGGAUUUUUCCAGAAAUAGCAUAAAAACUACCAAUAUAGCAGAAAAUAUUUGUUAGUGGCUGAAUAUAAUAUAUUUUAUUUCAAGAAUUAAUCAUGUUAAUCCAUGGUUAUAAUUGUGUUAAAAGAUAUUUUUACAUGACAUGACCUUUGCAGAAAUAGCUAUUUUUUGCAAAACAUUGUGAGUUGCCAUGGUAAAACAAAUUUGACUUAAAUUUAGAUUUGUUUGAUUAUGUAGAGAGCAUGUGUCUUGUUUAUAUUCUGCUAAUCAGACUAUGUUCUGCAAGAAAAUAUCUUUUAUGUGUAACCAUCAACAAAACAUGUCAUAACACAAUGGCAGAGCUGUAAUGCAGGUAGGCAUAUCAGGAAAGUAUGUAGUUCUGAAAGACAAGUUAUAUUACAUAAAAUGAUGUUUGUUUUUUAUAAAUGAUCAUAACUGACCAUUUGUGGUGUAAAACAAAUGUAUACUGAACAGAUGCUAAAUGAAUGUUCUGAUUCUUUCUGGAAAAUUUACAAAAAACUACUAUUUUAAGAAAAAUAGUGCAUUGUUGCCAUGGUAACAUUAAUUUAACUUUUAAAUUAUUUUGGAUAUCAUCAUAUGUAAACAACAUCUUUCUUGUUUAUAUGUUAUAUAUGUUAAGCUGUAUUAUGUUAGUGAAUAUAUUUUCAUAUGUAAUAAUUGCAUCAACAAAGCACUAUGUUAUUACACAAGCCUGCCUUAAAAUGGCAAUAGUUGUAACUGAGAGAGGUGUAUCUGAAUAUUAUGUAUUUCUCAAACCAUAUUACAUUAAUUUUCACGGAAUGAUGUCUACUCUCUUACUUUUAAAUAAGAAAACAGACAGCUUUUGAUGUAAAUAUAUGGAAUAACACUUCCAAUAUUCAAUUUAUUACAAAGAAAUUGCCAAAAAUGUUAGUAUUUUUGUAAGAAAAUACCACAUUGUUGCCAUGGUAAUGUUAGUAUUUUUGUAAGAAAAUACCACAUCGUUGCCAUGGUAAUGAUUCACUUAUCAGUAUAUCUAAGUCUUUUGAAAUUUUAGCAAACUCACAGUUGAUAAUAACAAUCUAAUAAUUAUAUCUUCUUGCCGGAUUUUCUUUCUUACUGUUUAAUAGAUAAGGUGUCUGUAAUAAUAAGAUUAAUGUCCUAGUUUUUGGGAUGUUGUCUAAUUUGAUAUCAAAUAAAUUCUGUAUCUUGUUCAAAAGAAUGUCAUAAAACAGUAGUCUGUAAACUGUUAGCACACUAGAAAAAGUUAAUUGUGUAUUUAUUUCACAUUCUAUGUAAUUUAUUGCUAGAUUCACCAAGAGACUGUUAAAAAAGAGGUUAAACAACAGUGUUGCUAUAGAAACGAUUUUUAGAACAUAAAUAUUUUUAUACUACAUGAAAGAAAGAGACAAAAAGAAAUACAUUCCGUUAAUUGCAUGUUGCUUUUGUUAUUUUAUCAUGUAUUUUAUCUUGAUAUUAUAUAAAUAUGGUGUCAUUAUUAAGAUAUACUGCCUCAAUUUCGAUACAGUUAGACAAAAACAUGGUGUCCGAAAAGUGGUAAUAUCUCCAUGACAACGACUGAUUUUUGUUGUCAAAUUGAAGAUUUUUACUCAGAACGGGUCAGUCUGUCAGAUUAGCCCAAAACCCCAUUUUUGACCAAAAUUGCAUUUGGACCCAAAAUCUCAUGCUCUGUCACAUAUCAGA